rnacentral:rRNA from 1 species
UCGGGAAUUUUGGGCAAUGGGCGAAAGCCUGACCCAGCAACGCCGCGUGAAGGAUGAAGUAUUUCGGUAUGUAAACUUCGAAAGAAUAGGAAGAAUAAAUGACGGUACUAUUUAUAAGGUCCGGCUAACUACGUGCCAGCAGCCGCGGUAAUACGUAGGGACCAAGCGUUGUUCGGAUUUACUGGGCGUAAAGGGCGCGUAGGCGGCAAUUCAAGUCAUCUGUGAAAUCUCCGGGCUUAACUCGGAACGGUCAGAUGAUACUGCUUUGCUAGAGUGCAGAAGGGGCAAUCGGAAUUCUUGGUGUAGCGGUGAAAUGCGUAGAUAUCAAGAGGAACACCUGAGGUGAAGACGGGUUGCUGGGCUGACACUGACGCUGAGGCGCGAAAGCCAGGGGAGCAAACGGGG